rnacentral:rRNA from 1 species
CGUUCCCGGGCCUUGUACACACCGCCCGUCACAUCAACGAAAGUGGAUUGUACUAGAAGUCCUAAUCAAAACAGGCCCAAGGUAUGAUUCAUGAUUGGGGUG